CAAAUUUUCGAUCGUUACCACCGACGCCGUCUUCUUGCUGCCGUCAGUUUCUCAUUCUCUCUCUCUCUCUCUCUCUCUCUCUCUAGCUCUCGCUCGGAUUCAAGAGCAACAUUUCUUGGUCAUUGUCAUGUAGUCCACAAUUUCUCUCCUUUUCUCUUUGAUUUUCUUUUUGUUGGCUACCAAAAAUUCUGAGAGCAGCAUUUCCUUUGCACGAAAGUAAGCCACUCCAGCCGUUACCAGUCAACGCAGCACCACUCAAGCCAUCUGGUAUAUUGACAUUUGAUACAGGCAUGAGGUUGAACAACAAACAAGUCAGUUAGCGCACAAUAUGCAUUGCAACAUAACAUGACAACAACUUAUUCAAACUUAAUGCUUGCAGGUUUGGAUUUUAGCACCGCAUAUCUUCCUCAAUGAACUAAAAUGAAUUUCAAUCAACUUCCCCUGCACAAAAUCAGAACCUAUGUAAACAAAACUGCCUAGUCUUAAGAUCUUAUUUGUAAAUAGCAAAAACAGAGGGUAGCCAUCAAUCAUCCAUAUAAAACCCUAGCAGUCCACACCAAACAAAAAUGUCUAAGCUAUGAACUGUGAUAAACCUAGGAGCACCUUCUGCAAUGAAGAAAAGAAAGAAGGAAACUCACAAAUCGGCUAGAGUUGUCAUUCCUAGAUGUUUUUACAUUCCCAAAUUCUUCCAGUAUAUAAUUGGUCUGAACGAUCUCAUAUUCUAUCCCGCAACUGCCACCAACAACAGUCAAAUAUUGCAUUGCAAUUUUAGCUGUCUCAGUUUUCCCAUCUCCACUUUCCCCACUGAAAAAAGACGUAAAGAUUAACCCAUGUGCUACCAAUCAAAUAUACAGAGUGAGCUCAAAGACCAGUAUAGAAGAAUAGCAGCUAAAUAAUAAUGAGGAAAAUGCCCAUAGCCGAGCUCCAAGUUAGUAAGAUUUAAUUGAAUCCCUUCUAACCUUAUGAUUAUGGACUAAUUUACUUCAUCUGCAAAAUAAAAUUAUAGCAAAUAGAAAAGCGUUCAACAAGAAUUUAAUGAUAUUAAAGGUAAUAUCAUUCUAGGUAAUGUCCAUGUUGCACAUGCAUUUAGGAAUUUUAAAAGGAAUGAUUUACUUGAUUCAGUUUGUGGUAGAUCCCAUCCUUUUGUCAAAACUUGCAAUCUAAUAUGCUGCACCGUAACCAUAAUAAGAAUUGUGUUUUAUUUUAGGAUAGAAUAUUGAGAGGACUAAUGAAGUCAUGGGUUUGGACGAGAAAAUUUUAGAAACAUGCUUAUAUAGUACAUACGACAAUUGCAAGGUGAUUAGAGGUCCCCUGGAAUUAUACCACUUGCAGUGAAAGAUGCUUUCAUAAUCAUCCAAGAGGUAAGGCAUGAGGGAUAUUAGCCUCUCUAUACCUUCCAUCCAUAAUUUUUUUUAACAAAAUCUACAGAGUCUGACGUAUAUAUAUGCCCUAGACUCCAAACAGAGAGUUUCUUCUUCAUGUCAUACUUGGAAAUCUACAAUGAGGUGAGCUUCUUGCUAUUCUCUAUUAUUUAUUCUUGGUUUGUGAUGGCUUUGAUUAAAAUUCUCACUGUUUUCCAUAAACUUAUCCUGAGUCAUAGUUUUAUUAUACGCAUAUGUUGUAUAUACUCUAGCUUUGAUGCUGAAUUAUUUUUCCAACGACUUCAAUAACCUUCAAGGUUUAAUUCCAUUUCAGGUUAUCAACACCUUUUACAUUCUUUUAGCUUAUUUCAGAAAGUUGAGCACAUGGAAUAAGCUACACUGUUUUCCAUGUUUUAUUUUCUAAACCUCUUGUCCAGAUAAGUUACUUGUACGUUCAUGCAUAUUGUUUGUUAGAAGUACAUAUAUAUAUAUAUAUAUAUUGUGAUAUCUCCAUGAGGCUACGCUCCAAAGCUGCUAGGAAUGUCUCUUAAUUAAGGGUUUGAUCAGUAUCUUAAAUCCAAUGUGCACAUUUUUAUAAAAAGAAAAAGGAAAAACCCAUACUUGACUUUCUAUUACCUAUAUUACCUAUGAUGCUUGUCAUAAUUUAUUUUAUCUCUCAUUACAUUUUUUUUAUUCACAUAAUAUCUAAGAUAAAAGUUAUAUUGUAACUGAUAUUUUAGGUUUCUGUUUUUUUGUACAACCCUAGUUCGUAAGGAAAUUUAAGUUGAGACUGAUAGAAUAAUUGGGAAGAUGAAACAGAUUUCUCUUGUUCCUAUGCAUCUCAGUAUCUAUUCUCCAAAUGGUGUGUUACUAAUUUUACUUUUGUUGUCAACUUUCUUGCCUUGUUAUUUGGGUUAAUUUGUUAUGAUGUCUAUAGAGUACUACUAUCAAACUCUGUGUCUUUUGUAUGUGCUUUGUGGAAAGUUAUGUUAUUAUGUUGUAAUAAUGACUAACCAAACAACUGGAACAUAUUAUAUUAGAUCUAGCUGCAGCUAUUCUCCUUAUAGAGGACAUCAUAUCCCUAACGCUAAACAUGUUACUUGAACUCGUAUAAAUAUAAUAAUUGGUAUAUGUAUAUGCAAACUUUAUAAAGAUGUUAACGCCCUUUCAUGGAUAUAGAACUAGAAUGACACCCAUUGGAGCACUGAGAAUUGACUCUUGAGGUUCUCAAAAUAGAAUUUGAAUUCAAAAUUUUAAAAACAACCAUCAGAAUUCCCUAAACAAUAUUAUAAAUUAAUGAGAAUAGUAUCAUAAAUAGUAACAACCAUGAUGACAUCAGGAUUGUCCAUACCUAUGAUAUCAUAAGAUAAACUAUUAAUAGACAACUUCUCGCAAGCCAUGAAACUAUAACUAAGCCCCUCCAAGUUAUGCAUAACAAGAACGUAUUACAGUGCAAAAAUAAAUUAUUAAACAAAAUAUGCAAGCUUGGCCUUGAAGGAACAGAACUACAAAUAGCAAAACAUCUCAUGCCUAAACCAACCGGUAGACAUAUAUGCCAAGAAGGUAUAGCCAAGUUGCCAAAACAAAUGGUCCAUGCUAAACACUAUGAAAUGUUAGAAUAAUUAGACUAUUAAAUCCCACCAUAAAGAUGAUCAUACCACACAUUAGGGUUAUUUCAUCCAUAGCCUAUUUCAAGCAAUAAUUCACCCAUUUGUAAAAGCCAAGGUCAAAUACUAAUUAACAAGCAAAGUUGAAAUAUAUAGCACAAUCUAAAAAUGCAUGCGUGCAUAAUAGCUUCUAAUUUUCAAUUCCACACACGAAUUGAAAAUAUUGUCAUAAAAAAAUUGAUGUGAAGGUAUCUUCUGACUUCAAAAGGUGAUAGUAAUGCAAUGUUAAAGUUCAAAUCAUAAACAUACACACGUCCAGUAACGAGUUUUGAGAGGCUUCUCUAUAAAUAGGAAAUUAAAGAAAAGGUCCAAUACAAAGUCACCUCCCUCUAGAAACUGCUUCCUGCAAUUCCCCAUGUGAGGAUGAGAACAACUCUAUAUAUCGACUCCCAAGAGUCAUCCCAUCUUUAACCAUUGCUGCUUUUGAAUCUUUUGCAUUUCCAAACUCCACAAAUGCUUCAUUAUAUCUGACAAAACAAAAUCUUUAAAGAACUCCAUUAUAUCAUCCUUACAAGCAGAAAAUGGCAGUCCCUGCAACCUCAAUACACCCAUGUGUUCAGCUGAGUCAUUCCCCUCAUCAUAAGAUUUAGCCAUUUGGACCCUUCGAUGCAGUGAACCACCCCGACUAUCUUAAACUUUAUAAUAAUUGUUUGGAGUUAUUUUGAAAUAAUUCUUCUAACGACCUAUUCAUGCUUGUUUCUAGAUGGACAAGAGUUAGAUGUAAAUCACUGAUAGAUUUGGAUCUAGGGAAUAUGCUAAAAGAGUUAAGGAGUUUCUUACCUUGGCCCGGUCUCAUGCUACAAGUGAGGCAAUCCUUUGCCCAUGUGUCCGAUGUUCAAAUAAUCACUUUUGACCAAUAAGUCAGGUAGAGAGACACUUGCUCAUUAAAGGUAUUGACAAGAAUUAUACUGUGUAGAUUUUUCAUGGUGAGGAAGAAGAUUUAAUCAUAAGUGAUGAUGAUGAUGAUCUACAUGAUCCCGAACAAGAGGAUUGCUUCAUUGAUGAUGUUAAUGCUAUGUUACGAGAUAUUCGUGUUGGGGAAUUUCCUGAUGUUCCCAUAACUGAGUCAUUCCAUGUUGAGGGUUCACCAUUGGUCGAUAUUAAUUUAUCUUGCACUUUCAAUCAUGUUGACAACUAAAAGUGGCUAAGGUAGAGGUAGAGGCCGAGCAUGCGGUGUGAGCUACAGUGAAGGUAGAUCUCAAAGAAACGAAGUUCGAAAUAAAGUACCUAUUGUUGCGCUUAGAGAUGAUGCAUUCUCAAGCUCAGAUGACUAAGUUGAGCAACCUAAUGUCAUCCCAAAUGAUAUGCUAACAGUCAUUGUAUGACUAAGCACAAACCCGCCUGUACCCCUUGCCGGAAGUGUGGCCAAGGAGAAGCAAAAGGAACAGAAUUUGAGAAUGUACGAAAACAUGGAAAGAUACCCUUGAGGAUAAAGGACUGUGAGACUGCACCUUGUUGUGAAAAUGCACUCAUUUUUACUACAAGAACUACAUGGUUGGUUAAGCAUUAUAUGGACUUGAGUCAUGCAAGCUAGCACGACGUACCAACUAAUAAAAAAGAAGAAUUGAUUUCAAGAGUUCAAGUAAAAGUUUUGAAUUUCAUACAUAUUCAAAUAGGGUUUCGAAUUAAUUUGUUUGAUGUUUAUCUCUAGAAUGACUUCAUCCUCGAUUGGACCAAGAAGAAUAAUCGUGAUGCGAUUACGAAAACACUAUGCAAGCAGUUUAAUCAUAUUCACUAUGAUUUACAUAGAACCUAUAAGUAAUAUGAUGGUAAUGAAGAAGCACUUGCAAAUGUGCGAUCGUGGGUGACACCAGCCACUUGGGUGAAGUUAUGUGCUUAAUAUUCAAGCGAGAACUUCAAGCGAAUGUCUAAACGAAAUAAAUUUAAUAGGGAGAAGCAACAAAACAAUCAUAUGGCUGGAUGAAGGUCAUUUGUGCGGCUAAUGGAGAUGAGGUUGACAGGAUAAGAUGGCUGCAAAUAUGUCAAAGUUGGAGCCUGAGAAGCGGACUAAGGAGGCUACAAUGAAAAUUUUCAAGAAAGUUUUGGGUCAAAGGUUAGGGUAUGUAAAGGGGCUCGGCGAGAUGGUUAUUCCUGAGUCAUCUAGACAAGCAACUUAUGCCUGAAUAGCAGAAUUAAAUGAACGUGCAAAAAGGCAUAAGAAAGAGGCUCCAGAUUAUAAGGGACAACUUGAUGACUUACUUGAGAAUGUCAAGUUACUACAAGCCAAUUAUAACAAGUUUAUAGAGAGAUAUGAGUCAGAGAGGCAAAUUCAAAGAAAAACAAGCCAAGUACGACAAGUUUGAGUACUGCAAAUGUGAGUUUGCGACUUCUAUAAGGCUUGGUAUCAUUGUCUGGAACUCACUGAAGAAUAGGUUUACUUGUACUAUAAUGAACUCAUUAUUCUCUCUAUUGACAUGCAUUGUAGUU